GACGAACGCUGGCGGCGUGCCUAACACAUGCAAGUCGAACGGACGAGGCCCCUUCGGGGACCGAGUUAGUGGCGAACGGGUGAGUAACGCGUGAGCAACCUGCCUUUCAGAGGGGGACAACAGUUGGAAACGACUGCUAAUACCGCAUAACACAUUCGGGGGGCAUCCCCUGAAUGUCAAAGAUUUAUCGCUGAAAGAUGGGCUCGCGUCUGAUUAGCUAGUUGGUGAGGUAACGGCUCACCAAGGCGACGAUCAGUAGCCGGACUGAGAGGUUGAACGGCCACAUUGGGACUGAGAUACGGCCCAGACUCCUACGGGAGGCAGCAGUGGGGAAUAUUGGGCAAUGGGGGAAACCCUGACCCAGCAACGCCGCGUGAAGGAAGAAGGCUUUCGGGUUGUAAACUUCUUUUACCAGGGACGAAGACGUGACGGUACCUGGAGAAAAAGCCACGGCUAACUACGUGCCAGCCGCCGCCGUAAUAC
rnacentral:rRNA from 1 species